rnacentral:rRNA from 1 species
GAUGAACGCUAGCUACAGGCUUAACACAUGCAAGUCGAGGGGCAUCAGGAAGAAAGCUUGCUUUCUUUGCUGGCGACCGGCGCACGGGUGAGUAACACGUAUCCAACCUGCCCUUUACUCGGGGAUAGCCUUUCGAAAGAAAGAUUAGUACCCGAUGGCAUAAUGAUUCCGCAUGGUUUCAUUGUUAAAGGAUUCCGGUAAAGGAUGGGGAUGCGUUCCAUUAGGUUGUUGGUGAGGUAACGGCUCACCAAGCCUUCGAUGGAUAGGGGUUCUGAGAGGAAGGUCCCCCACAUUGGAACUGAGACACGGUCCAAACUCCUACGGGAGGCAGCAGUGAGGAAUAUUGGUCAAUGGGCGCUAGCCUGAACCAGCCAAGUAGCGUGAAGGAUGAAGGCUCUAUGGGUCGUAAACUUCUUUUAUAUAAGAAUAAAGUGCAGUAUGUAUACUGUUUUGUAUGUAUUAUAUGAAUAAGGAUCGGCUAACUCCGUGCCAGCAGCCGCGGUAAUACGGAGGAUCCGAGCGUUAUCCGGAUUUAUUGGGUUUAAAGGGAGCGUAGGUGGACUGGUAAGUCAGUUGUGAAAGUUUGCGGCUCAACCGUAAAAUUGCAGUUGAUACUGUCAGUCUUGAGUACAGUAGAGGUGGGCGGAAUUCGUGGUGUAGCGGUGAAAUGCUUAGAUAUCACGAAGAACUCCGAUUGCGAAGGCAGCUCACUGGACUGCAACUGACACUGAUGCUCGAAAGUGUGGGUAUCAAACAGG